GUCUCGCCCGCCACACCCAGCGGUGUUGGGAGAGAAGAGGAACGAGGAGGGAAGGAGCAGCUGUAUCGGCAGCGCGAGGAUGAGGCCAGGGGGGGCGUAGGGGUCCUCGAGAAGGCGGAGAGACCUGCUCUAGGUGGCGGAUGACUCCGGAAAUAGGUCGGGUCGAGUACUCCUUCGGCGCCCUCCUCCUCGAGUUAGCCCGCAGUGGCUGGUCUCUUCCUCCUCUCCGCGCCUACGGUCGGUUCCUUCGCCUAACCGAACGGAGGCGGUACAGUACUCGCGGCGGCGGCGGAGACGUAGGCGGAACGAGACGUAUCGUGGUACACACGCCGCCGCCCCUGUCCGUUGGUGUCCGACUAAAACCCCUCGUUCGUAGUUCGUUACCGGCUACGGUACCCUAAUAUCGUUCGUUGGCAGCGACUCAAGAAAAAAGAACGUAUUUUAAAAAGAUGACUAAGGAGUUACGAGACAAGUACUGAAAGAAGAACAAAAUAAUAAAAAAAUGAAAGGUUAAAGCUACAUUACCUAUAACUAACACCAUCAGGUUUAUAGGG
rnacentral:rRNA from 1 species